UACCUAUUUAACUGUCUAGUAAAGUUUAAAGAGAUUGCUUAAAAAGUGCAAUCCACAUGUUUACAUAUGUUUAUUACAGUAAAUAAUAAUUCACUAAUCUAAAUA